UACAGAGGUGGCAAGCGUUGUUCGGAAUUACUGGGCGUAAAGGGCGCGUAGGCGGCCUUCUAAGUCAGACGUGAAAUCCCCCGGCUUAACCUGGGAACUGCGUCUGAUACUGGAGGGCUUGAGUGCGGGAGAGGGAUGUGGAAUUCCAGGUGUAGCGGUGAAAUGCGUAGAUAUCAGGAGGAACACCGGUGGCGAAGGCGGCCCUCUGGACGGAUACUGACGCUGAGGCGCGAAAGCGUGGGGAUCAAACAGG
rnacentral:rRNA from 1 species